GACGAACGCUGGCGGCGUGCUUAACACAUGCAAGUCGAACGGAAAGGCCCUGCUUUUGUGGGGUGCUCGAGUGGCGAACGGGUGAGUAACACGUGAGUAACCUGCCCUUGACUUUGGGAUAACUUCAGGAAACUGGGGCUAAUACCGGAUAGGAGCUCCUGCUGCAUGGUGGGGGUUGGAAAGUUUCGGCGGUUGGGGAUGGACUCGCGGCUUAUCAGCUUGUUGGUGGGGUAGUGGCUUACCAAGGCUUUGACGGGUAGCCGGCCUGAGAGGGUGACCGGCGGCAUUGGCAUGGGGUGACGGCCCAGUCGGUUAGGGUAGCCAGAAGUGCGUUAAAGAACAUUAUAGGAGGAAAACUGAGACAAUGGCUAAGCGUGCAGGAUGAUGGCCAGGGGGUGGUAAACCGGUUUGUCCUGUGACGAGGCGAAAGAGGCGGUAAGGGGUAGAGAAGCACGGGCUAGGAAUGUG
rnacentral:rRNA from 1 species